UACAGAGGUGCCAAGCGUUAGGCGGAAUCACUGGGCUCAAAGCGCGUGUAGGCGGGUCGUUAAGUGUCUUGUGAAAUCCCACGGCUCAACCGUGGAACUGCUGGGCAUACUGACGAUCUUGAGGCACUCAGGGGCUGUCGGAACAAAUGGUGGAGCGGUGAAAUGCGUAGAUAUCAUUUGGAACGCCAACGGUGAAAACAGACAGCUGGGGGUGUCCUGACGCUGAGACGCGAAAGCCAGGGGAGCGAACGGG
rnacentral:rRNA from 1 species